rnacentral:lncRNA from 1 species
UGUGAGGAUACAACUGGGAACUAAAGCUGGAAGAUGCCAGACAUUCAGCAGGGAGUUCCCUCAUCAGCAGCUGGCUAACUGGGGAACUGAAAGUCACAAGGCGCUCGUUUCUGAUAACUCCAUGAAAAUUCACUCUGGGUCAGAAAUCAAUCUUUGGAGUUCUGAACAUGCAGCUUUUCUCAUGGGCCUUUUGGAGAACAAUCAGCUACUCAGCCAUCAGAGCCUUUUUUGCUGGAUGGCAGGCAGGAACUGACAGCAAACCAUCGUCUCUACAACACGCAGAAGAUCAGCACCAAGUCUCCAUUCUCCGAAAACAUGUGUCCAUGCAGCUCUCCCAGGGGAGGUCUGCGCUGCAGUGGAAGGCCCCAGGAGCGUGGGAGCCAGCUCAUCGCAUGAAGGAAACACAGAGUUGUACCUCCAGAUGCCAGGCGGAGCGGCGACGUGACGCACGGUGGACGAGGAGCCAGGAUGCCCAGCUCUGCUACCAACACAGAGUGGGAAUUUGCACACCUCACAUGGUGUCAGUUUCCAAAUGCUGCUGUAAUCAAUUUCCACAAAGUGGUGGCUUAGAAAAACAGACAUGUAUUCGCUGACAGUUCUGGAGCCCAGAAGCCUGAAACCAACGUGAGGGUUCUAGGGGAAGAUCCUCAUUUGCCCCCUCCCAAUUUGGUAGUUCUGGGUGUUCCUUGGCUUGUGGACUCAUCACUCCAAUCUCUGCAUCUGUCUUCACAUUGCUUUCCCUGCUUCUCUGUGUGUCCAUUCUCUGCAUGUCUAAUUUGUAAGGAUAUGAGUGAUUGCAUUUAGGGCCUACUUGGGUUAUCCAGGGAGAUCCCCUCAUCUCAAGAAAAUUGAUCUAAUCAUGUCUGCAAAGACCCUUGAUCCAGAUAACAUUCACAGGUUCUAGGGAUUUGAUUGGGAUAUCUUUGGGGUGAGGGGGGAUAUUUUUCAGCCUGCCACACCCACUUCCCUUCUUCUGGCCUCUUCCAGAAAAUGAUGGCCCCUCUGAGCCCCGAGUUCCCCUUCAGCUUUGAAGUUCUGCAGGUGAUCCUCAGACAGCCUAGCCUGCAUUGCCAAGUUCACGACAAUGUUAUCUCAAUAGAGUACCUGAUAUUUUUUCAAAGCACUUUCCCAUCUGUUAUUUUGCUUCAUGCUCCUGAUCACCUCUCGGGGCACACAGGGCAAUUAAUAUUAAACCCAUUUAAUUGAUGAAACAACAGAGGCCCAAAAACUCCUAACUCACUUUCUCCUUGAGUUAGUCAGCUAAUGGGAACCAGGAGCAGGCCAGGUGGUUUCCCAGGGCAUGCUUUUUUUUUUUCUCUCUCUCUUUCAUUGUAUAUAGCCUUUCACCACCACAGGCUUUGUUCUGGAAGCCCAGGAAGGUAGGCAAGUCAAAGCUUGUCAUGUAGAUCCAAGCCCACCCUGAAUCCCUGAUUCAUAUCCCCUGGAGAGUGUGGCAGGAACUUCAUUUGCACUCCCUGUGGUCCCAGGUGGCAGAAAUGAGGAUGAAGCCAAGUGUUUGGAGUUCUUGCGAAGAAAGAUACAACAGCCACACAAGGUAUUAUUAACUUUAUUACUUGUCAGGAAGAGGUGGGGGAAGCAGUUAAGAUUCGGCUAGAUGAGAGGUGAGUGUACUGCAUUACAAUCUCUGGAGGGUGUGGUGGGCAUAUGAGCUGGAAAGGACCAUUAUUUAUUUACUACUUUUGUUAAGUGCCUGUAAUGUGCUGGGUGCUAUGCUGGAUGUGUGUGUAACACAGACACAUAAACCAUUCAGGGUCAACCUUGCGUGGGUGGGAGGAGGUUAAAAGCACUUGCAUCUUCUUCUCCCUGAAAACAGAAACAUCUUCCUCCUUGGCCUACCAUGGUGCCAGCAAUCUCCAGCAUUAGCGAUGGCUCCUUGGGGGUAACCUGCAGAAGCUUCUUAACUGGGUUAAGGCAUCUUAUUACCUUGCAGGAGUAAGGCAAUCGCCAGCUCACUGAUAGUACACAAUGAUUUCGCUCAUUCCAUCCACUCUUGGCCAUUGGUGCAGCAGGAAGGGCCUUGGGGUCCUCCAAUUUGGACAGUGGGGAGGACUUGGCCCUGGGCUGACAGAUUGCUGCUUGGCAGGUUUAUGGGAGCCAGGCGUCAGCAUGGUGUGACGUGGGGAGGCAAGAGUCAAUGCCAAUGCAGGCAGCCCCCUCCCACCAAGCAAAGCGGCUUACAGACUUCGGAGAGGAAACAAAACAUCUACAUGCAAAUGUUGAACCAGAUUUCAGAGCAAGAGAGCAACUUCAAGAGCCAAGGCAGUUCCAACUACCAGGUGUUUAAUACCUUUUCAGCUUGGGUGGAUCAUGGAUCUCUUUGAGAAACUGAGGAGACAGUCUUGGAUUCUCUCUCUGUCUCUCUCUCUCUCCCCCACCUCCCCCUCUCUUGCACCUUCUUCUCCCUGCAAACAAAA